AACGCACGACACAACGAGUUUACUUGUUGUGAAGUGAGUGGCGAACGGGUGAGUAAGACAUAAGUAAUCUGCCCUCACAGCUGGGAUAACCAUUGGAAACGAUGGCUAAUACCGGAUAGGUCAGUUGGUGGCAUCACUAAUUGAUUAAAGAUGGGUUACAUCGAGUGGGGAUGAGCUUAUGGUGCAUUAGCUAGUUGGUAAGGUAAGAGCUUACCAAGGCGAUGAUGCAUAGCCGACCUGAGAGGGUGACCGGCCACACUGGGACUGAGACACGGCCCAGACUCCUACGGGAGGCAGCAGUAGGGAAUUUUCGGCAAUGGGGGCAACCCUGACCGAGCGACGCCGCGUGAGUGAAGAAGGCCUUCGGGUUGUAAAGCUCUGUUGUAAGGGAAGAAAUCAUUGAAGAGGGAAUGCUUUGAUGUUGACGGUACCUUACCAGAAAGCCACGGCUAACUACGUGCCAGCAGCCGCGGUAAUACGUAGGUGGCAAGCGUUAUCCGGAAUUAUUGGGCGUAAAGGGUGCGUAGGCGGCUAUUUAAGUUCAAGGUUAAAGUUCGGGGCUCAACCCCGUGAUGCCUUGGAAACUGGGUAGCUAGAGUGCAGGAGAGGUGAGUGGAAUUCCAUGUGUAGCGGUAAAAUGCGUAGAGAUAUGGAGGAACACCAGUGGCGAAGGCGGCUCACUGGCCUGUAACUGACGCUGAGGCACGAAAGCGUGGGGAGCAAAUAGGAUUAGAUACCCUAGUAGUCCACGCCGUAAACGAUGAAUACUAAGUGUUGGGGUAACACUCAGUGCUGCAGUUAACGCAAUAAGUAUUCCGCCUGGGGAGUAUGCACGCAAGUGUGAAACUCAAAGGAAUUGACGGGGGCCCGCACAAGCGGUGGAGUAUGUGGUUUAAUUCGAAGCAACGCGAAGAACCUUACCAGGUUUUGACAUGGCGCUAAAGGCCCUAGAGAUAGGGAGAUAGUUAUAGCGCACACAGGUGGUGCAUGGUUGUCGUCAGCUCGUGUCGUGAGAUGUUGGGUUAAGUCCCGCAACGAGCGCAACCCUUGUCGUUAGUUACCAUCAUUAAGUUGGGGACUCUAGCGAGACUGCCGGUGACAAACCGGAGGAAGGUGGGGAUGACGUCAAAUCAUCAUGCCCCUUAUGGCCUGGGCUACACACGUACUACAAUGGCGAGCACAACGGGAAGCGACACAGUGAUGUGGAGCGGAUCUUAUAAAACUCGUCUCAGUUCGGAUCGAAGUCUGCAACUCGACUUCGUGAAGUUGGAAUCGCUAGUAAUCGCGGAUCAGCAUGCCGCGGUGAAUACGUUCUCGGGCCUUGUACACACCGCCCGUCAAACCAUGAGAGUUGGUAAUACCCGAAGCCGGUGGCCUAACCAUUACUGGAGGGAGCCGUCGAAGGUAG
rnacentral:rRNA from 1 species